rnacentral:tRNA from 1 species
GCGGGGGGCUUGAGUGCGCCGAACUCGCUCAUCGAAACUCCGAAAGGCACCGGUCUCCAAAACCGGCGAUUCCAGGUUCGAGUCCUGGGUGCCCCGCU